CCUACGGGAGGCAGCAGUGAGGAAUAUUUGUCAAUGGACGAGAGUCUGAACCAGCCAAGUAGCGUGAAGGAUGACUGCCCUAUGGAUUGUAAACUUCUUUUAUAAGGGAAUAAAACGUUCCACGUGUGGGAUUUAGUAUGUACCUUAUGAAUAAGGAUCGGCUAACUCCGUGCCAGCAGCCGCGGUAAUACGGAGGAUCCGAGCGUUAUCCGGAUUUAUUGGGUUUAAAGGGAGCGUAGGUGGAUUGUUAAGUUAGUGGUGAAAGUUUGCGGCUCAACCGUAGAAUUGCCGUUGAAACUGGCAGUCUUGAGUACAGUAGAGGUAGGCGGAAUUCGUGGUGUAGCGGUGAAAUGCUUAGAUAUCACGAAGAACUCCGAUUGCGAAGGCAGUUCACUGGACUGCAACUGACGCUGAGGCACGAAAGUGUGGGUAUCAAACAGGAUUAGAUACCCGGGUAGUC
rnacentral:rRNA from 1 species